rnacentral:rRNA from 1 species
UUCCUACGGGAGGCAGCAGUUAGGAAUAUUCGUCAAUGGGGGAAACCCUGAACGAGCAAUGCCGCGUGUGUGAUGAAGGCCCUCUGGGUUGUAAAACACUGUUGUUUGGAAAGAAAUGUAUAAGUAGGAAAUGACUUAUACUUGACGGUACCAUUCAAGAAAGCCACGGCUAACUACGUGCCAGCAGCCGCGGUAAUACGUAGGUGGCGAGCGUUAUCCGGAUUUAUUGGGCGUAAAGAGUGCGCAGGCGGUUUGCUAAGUCUAAGAUUAAAGUCCGAAGCUUAACUUCGGUUCGUU